CAGCCGCCGCGGGAAUACGGAGGGGGCUAGCGUUGUUCGGAAUUACUGGGCGUAAAGCGCACGUAGGCGGCUUGGUAAGUUAGAGGUGAAAGCCUGGAGCUCAACUCCAGAAUUGCCUUUAAGACUGCCGAGCUAGCAGGUGAGAGAGGUAAGUGGAAUUCCGAGUGUAGAGGUGAAAUUCGUAGAUAUUCGGAAGAACACCAGUGGCGAAGGCGGCUUACUGGCUCAUACUGGACGCUGAGGCACGAAAGCGUGGGGAGCAAACAGGAUUAGAUACCCCUGUAGUCCCUGUCUCUUAUAC
rnacentral:rRNA from 1 species